UAUCGCUGAUAAAAUAGCAAAUUGCAAAUAUGGCUUCUUUUUGGUUAACAAGGAGUCUUUUGUUUGCGUUACUCACGCUGCAAAUAUUUUCUGCAGAAGAGGAGAAAAGCCCGAAAGCUCGACUUGAGACAUGCGGUGGAUGACGUUUAAAUCGCCUUCCUGAGGUAAAGUCAUUCAUCAAUGAAGAUGCUGAUAAAUACCCAGAUUUGGAGGUGAAGUAUAUUGGUG